UACGAAGGGGGCUAGCGUUGCUCGGAUUGACUGGGCGUAAAGAGCGUGUAGGCGGCCCCAUUAGUCCGCUGUGAAAGUCCAGGGCUCAACCCUGGAAUGCCGGUGGAUACUGUGGGGCUAGAGUCCGGAAGGGGCGAGUGGAAUUCCUGGUGUAGCGGUGAAAUGCGCAGAUAUCAGGAGGAACACCAAUGGCGAAGGCAGC
rnacentral:rRNA from 1 species